UAAGCGGAGGAAAAGAAACUAACCAGGAUUCCCCUAGUAACGGCGAGUGAAGCGGGAAUAGCUCAAAUUUUAAAUCUGGCCGGCGUGGUCGGUCCGAGUUGUAAUUUGAAGAAGCGAUUAUCACGUUUUCGUUCGGGUUCAAGUUCCUUGGAAUAGGACAUCAGAGAGGGUGAGAAUCCCGUCUGUGAUCCGAUCGGCUUCGGUACGAUAACGUUUCUAAGAGUCGAGUUGUUUGGGAUUGCAGCUCAAAAUGGGUGGUAAAUUCCAUCUAAGGCUAAAUAUUGGCGAGAGACCGAUAGCGAACAAGUACCGUGAGGGAAAGAUGAAAAGAACUUUGAAAAGAGAGUUAAACAGUACGUGAAAUUGUUGAUAGGGAAACGAUUGAAGUCAGUCAUGCCAGUGAGAAAUCAGCUUACAGGCUACUGUGAGUGCACUUUUUCGCAAGGCAGGUUAACAUCGGUUUUCGUUGCGUCAUAAUGAUUGUAGGAAGGUGGCUCCUUCGGGAUUGUAUAGCCUACUUUAGAGGCGCGACGAGGACCGAGGAUUGCACGAAAUGCCUUUGGCUACGGAUCUUUCUUCUGUUGAAUCUUUAGUUGAUCGUCAGCUUUGCUGACGAGCGGUUGAUAGGUUUGCAAUAGGAUGGAAUCCGAUAAAUUCGCUAAGGAUGUUGACGUAAUGGCUUUAAACGACCCGUCUUGAAACACGGAUCCAAAGGAGUCUAGCAUAUAAUGCGAGU
rnacentral:rRNA from 1 species